UGUGGAAUUGCAAGCAGAAGCUUCGGCAGCAGGGGCUCCAGGAAGGACGUGGAAGCACUGUUGAACAGGGCAGCGCAUCCCACAUAAGCUGGAGCUGAGGCUGACAUUUAUUAGUUUAAAUGGGGAGCUCACACUUGUGCAUCUUUGCCUCUGCUUUCAUGCUUUCACAUUCUCAAUGAGAUGAAGAGCAGAAGACAUCUGCGGUAGCUGAAUAUAGACAAAAAUUGCUCAGCUAUGGACCCAGGAGAAACGCUGGAAUGUGACACGAUGUGAUUUUGCAGUAUGAAGCUAG